rnacentral:rRNA from 1 species
ACGCUCGACACCUACGGGGGCAGCAGUUGGGAAUAUUGGACAAUGGAGGAAACUCUGAUCCAGUGACGCCGCGUGAAGGAAGAAGGUCUUCGGAUUGUAAACUUAUUUUGUCAGGGAAGAAAAAAUGACUGUACCUGAAGAAAAAGCACCGGCUAACUACGUGCCAGCACGCCGGACGGUAAUCUGAGGCGGGCGUGGACAAGGC